rnacentral:ncRNA from 1 species
GCCCCCAAAAUCUAAGGUUUCCUUCACAAAGUCCGUCCAUGGAGGGUGAUUCAGGGCCUAAGAUCAUGCCAAAAGGCAUAGUCGAUGGACAACAGAUGAAUAUUUUUGUACUACCCCUUAUUGGUCCUGAGGGUCGUAGGAGGCUAGGUUAGCCGAAAGAUGGUUAUCGGUUCAAGAGCAUAAGGUGUCCCUGCCUUUUUUUAGGGUAAGAAAGGUUAGAGAAAAUGCCCUGAGCCAAUGUUCGAAUACCAGGCGCUAUGACGCAAAAGUAACCCAUUCCAUACUCCCAUGAAAAGUUUGAACGAUUUUGGACAAGAGUGUACCUGUACCCAAAAUUGAAACAAGUGGAUAGGUAGAGAAUACUUAGGGCCACGAGACAACUCUCUCUAAGGAACUGGACAAAUUAGCCCCGUAAUUUUGGGAGAAGGGGUGCCUCCUCAUAAAGAGAGUCGUAGUGACUAGGCCCGGACUACUGUUUACCUAAAACACAGGUCUCCAUAAAGUCGUAAGACCAUGUAUGGGGGAUGAAUCCUUCCUAAUGCCAAAAGGUCAACGAAGUUGGUGACCUGAUGACAGGAAAGCCGAUGAUUGGAACAACAGUCGUAACUAUAACGAUCCUAAGGUAGCAAAAUUUCUUAUCGGAUAAGUUUUGAUCCACAUAAAAGGUGUAACGAUUUGGGCACUGUCUCAGAGAGAGGCUCAGUGAAAUACACAUGUCUGUGAAGAUGUAGACUACCUGCACCUAGACUGAAAGAUCCUAUAAAGCUUUACUAUUUCAUGGGAUUGGCUUUGAGCCUUUCCUGCGCAACUUGGGUGGAAGGCAAAAAAGGCCUCCUUCUAAGGUGGGUGGGGAGAUGAGGCAUCAAUAAGAUACCACUCUGGAAGAAUUAGAAUUCUAACCUUAUGUCAAGACCCACGGGUCAAGGGAUAGUCUCAGUAGACAAUUUCUAUAGGCAGUAGGCCUCCCAAAAGGUAACGAAGGCAUGCAAAGAUUUCUUUGAACCGGACGAAGAUUGAACCUCGAGUGCAAAGGCAGAAGGGAGCUUGACUCUAAGACCCACUUGCCAAGCAGGGACAAAAGUUGGUCUUAGUGAUCCGAUGGUGCCGAGUGAAAGGAUCGUCACUCAACGGAUAAAAGUUACUCUAUGGAUAACAUGUUGAUCUUCCCCAAGAGCUCACAUCGACGAGAAGUUUUGCCACCUUGAUGUAGGCUCUUCACCACCUAGGGUUGUAGCAUGUUCUAAGGGUUUCACCCAUUAAAGCGGUACGUGAGCUGAGUUUAGAACGUCGUUAGACAGAUCGGGUAUGUGAAUCUUUUU